GGCCUUGUAGUCUAGAGGUACGAUACUUGCUUUGGGUACUUCACAAGUGCAAGUGGCCUGGGUUCGAUUCCCAGCAAGGCCC
rfam:Paxillus rubicundulus Ve08.2h10 scaffold_434_c1, whole genome shotgun sequence.